GACACUUUGGCCGAGCGGUUAAGGCGAUAGCCUGCUAAGCUAUUGGGAUUUCCCGCGUGAGUUCAAAUCUCACAGGUGUCG
rfam:Stentor coeruleus isolate WM001 SteCoe_contig_951, whole genome shotgun sequence.